UGAUAGUGUCAUGUGUUUCAACCUGAAUUUGUAUCUACUUUCUCCUGAGAAUGUUGUAGUUGAUCUAACAAUUGAGUCUAUAACAAAGUCAUCCAAGAGCAAUACGUCUUCAAAUAAACUGGUGCUCUCAAAUAAAGAAUAUGAAGUAAGGAGGAGCAGACCUCUGAAUCCUCAGAACUCUGGAUCCAUGGAUUCGGGAUUUUCAAGGAGCACAAACAUCCAGCCAGUGCAGGGACGAGUGGAGUUGAUUGCAAAAUACGGAGGCAACCAGUAGCACAGCAGCCCACUAUGCUCCAGCAGUGACUCAUGGGAAAACUUUAGCCAGGAAAUACAAACUUCAGAGGAGAAGUGUUUCUUGCUAGUCUGUUGUAACAUUUGACAUGCUAUUAAAAAAAUAUUUUUUUAAUACAAUAGAUAUGAAAAAAGUAGUCUUUAUCAAAGUGGGUAAAUGUAUUGUUUUAAAGCAGCAGAUACAUUUACAAGCUAACAUCACCUAACUGUAAAUGUACAUUAUUUUUUGUACCAUUUCUUCUAAAAAAUAUUUAAAUCACUUUUUUUUUUUAACAUACAGAAGCAGAUUGUAUUAGAAAACCACAUCAAGGAAAUGUUUGUGCAAGAAGAGUUCAUGGGAGCACAAAUUAUACGUAUUUUUUUCAAUGUCAAAAAUGUGUACACACAGAAAAUGUAUAUUUAGAUAUUUUCCAUUUUUUCAUUUAUGUGGUUUCUUCUGCAUUCCAGUGAUGAUUUUGACCAGCAUUAGUCCACUGAAAAGAAACGUUUAUAUCAGUAUAUGGUAAAUAAAAAGGACGGAAAAGUAAAUGUGUUUAUUUCUGUUUGUCUUAGGUUGACGAAAGCAAAUGUCUACAGUCCACAUGGUGCAGUAUAAAAUGUUGUAAAUGUUGUUUAUGUUUACCUUGUUCUGCUUUAUUGUCCUUGUUUCUAUGCCAUAUGUCUAUUUCUGUUUAUGUAAUUUAAAAGCAACAAUGAGCUGGAGUCAGAUUUCUUGAAUGCGUUCACACUUACUUGGCCAUUAAGGCGGAUUCUGUUACUAAA